GACGAACGCUGGCGGCGUGCCUAAUACAUGCAAGUUGAGCGCUGAAGGUUGGUACUUGUACCAACUGGAUGAGCAGCGAACGGGUGAGUAACGCGUGGGGAAUCUGCCUUUGAGCGGGGGACAACAUUUGGAAACGAAUGCUAAUACCGCAUAAAAACUUUAAACACAAGUUUUAAGUUUGAAAGAUGCAAUUGCAUCACUCAAAGAUGAUCCCGCGUUGUAUUAGCUAGUUGGUGAGGUAAAGGCUCACCAAGGCGAUGAUACAUAGCCGACCUGAGAGGGUGAUCGGCCACAUUGGGACUGAGACACGGCCCAAACUCCUACGGGAGGCAGCAGUAGGGAAUCUUCGGCAAUGGACGAAAGUCUGACCGAGAAACGCCGAGUGAGUGAAGAAGGUUUUCGGAUCGUAAAACUCUGUUGGUAGAGAAGAACGUUGGUGAGAGUGGAAAGCUCAUCAAGUGACGGUAACUACCCAGAAAGGGACGGCUAACUACGUG
rnacentral:rRNA from 1 species